rnacentral:rRNA from 1 species
AUGAACGCUGGCGGCGUGCUUAACCCAUGCAAGUCGAACGAAGCACUUUAUUUGAUUUCCUUCGGGACUGAUUAUUUUGUGACUGAGUGGCGGACGGGUGAGUAACGCGUGGGUAACCUGCCUUGUACAGGGGGAUAACAGUUGGAAACGGCUGCUAAUACCGCAUAAGCGCACAGCAUCGCAUGAUGCAGUGUGAAAAACUCCGGUGGUAUAAGAUGGACCCGCGUUGGAUUAGCUAGUUGGUGAGGUAACGGCCCACCAAGGCGACGAUCCAUAGCCGACCUGAGAGGGUGACCGGCCACAUUGGGACUGAGACACGGCCCAAACUCCUACGGGAGGCAGCAGUGGGGAAUAUUGCACAAUGGGCGAAAGCCUGAUGCAGCGACGCCGCGUGAGCGAAGAAGUAUUUCGGUAUGUAAAGCUCUAUCAGCAGGGAAGAUAAUGACGGUACCUGACUAAGAAGCACCGGCUAAAUACGUG